rnacentral:lncRNA from 1 species
GCCAGAAACAGCAACCCUUCUGGGUCCCCUUCCACCACGCAGAAGCUUUACUUUCGCUUUCACUUUACUUUUGCUUUCACUUUAACAAAUCUUGCAGCCGCACACUCUUUGGGUCCGCCCGUUUCUCUAAUCAAGUUGUAACACUCGCUGCUGUGGUCCACAGCUUCAUUCCUUGAAGCCCGUGAGACACGAACGCUUCCAUUGAGAAAAACCUUCCAUCAGAAGAAGACUUCUCGUCUCAGUGGGACUGCUGAGUUGAAUGAGACGAGGUUUCACCAUGUUACCCAAGCUGAUCUCGAACUCCUGGGUUCAUGCGAUCCACCUGACUCAGCCUCACAAAGUGGUAGGACUACAGAAAAUGAACAGGACUAUUCUUCCUCAAACAAAGAGAUCGUGUGAUGAAGACUCACCAGAGCUGUUCUCUAUAAGCUUGAAGAGCAAUGGUAUCAGUGAAUUGCCUUUUCAUUUAUUAUCUUGUUUCUCAAGUGGGAUAUAAGUGUCAUGGGGAGGAUCUGAAAAUGGACUCCAUAGAAAGAGACUCUGAGAUGAAAGACACAAAACUGAGAACAUGCUUGAUGAAGAAACACUUGAUGAAGUCUUUCAAAAGUCAGGAACAAGAAAUAGACACAAUGAACACUAGUAACAAACAUCAGACAGCAGGUGCUUUUUUUUCUGAAGCUUUGGUAGUGUAACUGUAAGAGUCCUGGAAUUGGAAAAGCAAAUCCAGAAGUUGAGUUCCAUGACUUUUUUGCUGUUUGCCUUUGGACUUGCAUCAUUUAUAUUUUUAAUUCAUCGAGGAUGAGAAAAUUGAUUAACACAAAAUCUUUUCAUGUCUUUUCUGAUGAGAGACUAGCUGAAUCCAAGAAGAGAAGCCCUUGAAGAGUGUAUUCUAUUCUAGACAAGCAUUCACACAUUGGCUUCUUUGGUGCCAGCAUGUUUCUGAUCAGCAUGAAAACUGCGCAGGAGCUUUUCUGUCUUGCAGAGCUAGUUAAUGAGAUUGUUGCUGCCUUCAGAUUCUAUAAAGGACUUCUCCAAUAUUGGAUUAAAGAAUGAAGAAAGGAUCAAAUUGAGACAUCCAGGGGGGAAGAGUUCCCUGGCAAAACUCCAAUCUGCCUGAGCACUGAGGUGGAGCCACAGAAGUCCGGGUCAUUUGCACCUGGGAGGAGCCUGGCCCCUCCUCUUCCUGUGUGGAAUCUGGGAUUUAAUCUGUGAGGAGGGAAGGCCAAGGGCAGGAAGCACAGGCUCUCACUUCACUAAGAGUCUCUGUUUCCCCUUUUUUUCCUUUAUGCCUAAUUAAUAAAUCCCAUUUUUCUCACUCUUCAAAUAGUCUUCAAGCCUAAAUUUUCAUGACCAUGGAACAAGGACCCCAUCUUUAGCUGAACUAAGGAAAAGUCCUGCAACAAAAUUCUUUGCUAAAAAUACAUGAGGUUGCCUUUUCCUUCUUAAUCUUAAAAGAAAUAUAUUUCAAUGGUUAACGUUUUAGUAAUUCAAAAAUUAUCAAGCAUUUGUUCACAACCAUAAGAUGUGCAUUGUUUUAUAUUCCUACUUAAUAAUAGACUAUAAUUGUCUAAUUAGACUGCCGAUGUUGAUCUUUGUGGCUCAUUGCAUUGAUUAUAAGCAGUGUUUUGGGUUUGUGUGUGUGUGUCAAAUUUAGGGUUUUUUUGGUAUGGCUGCUGGUUGGUGUAGCCUGUAUCCAGUAUCCUGUAUUAAUUCUAAUAUUUGCAUUUUGAACAUAUUUACAAGUUGCUAAAAUAGCAAAGCUUCGAGAUGAGCCUGGCUGAUAUGGCAAAACCCCGUCUCUACUAAAAAUACAAAAAUUAGCCUGGUGUGGUGGUGCAUGCCUGUAAUCCCAGCUACUUGGAAGUCUGAGGCAGGAGAAUCUCUUGAACCCAGAAGGUGGAGGUUGCAGUGGGCCAAGAUCGCACCACUGCACUCCAGCCUCGGUGAUAGAGCGAGACUACGUCUCAAAAAUAAAAUAAAAUAAAAUAAAAUAAAAAUAGCAAAGCUAUGUAUGGUUUCUCUGAGUUUUGUAAUUUAUCAUUGUUAACUGCAGAAAUUUAUUAUAUGAGACAUAUUAUAUGAGACAUAUAAGUGAAUUUGGAUUGGGUUUAAUUUUAUAUUUUUGAAUAUAGUUCUUCAAGAUAAAUUUUAUCUUAGACCUCAAGAAAUAAAAAUAAAAUAAAUUAGAUAUACAAACGA